CCUCACCCAAAACAGAGUAAAAGCCAAAGUAAAGAUAAGAUGCUAUCAGGGUUUUUUAAAAACAGCUCCCCAAUGUCUACUCAAUGCAGCUCACUUGCACCACCCAACGUACACGUGGAUUACUGCAGGCAGGCUUUCAUGCCUCCCGGAAAGAGGCCUGUUUGCAGGACCAGACCUUGGGGUCCCACUUGAAACCCCCCUCCUCCCACAAAGGAAAACAGUACAGAAAAGAGGAAAGGGGACAUUAAUUUGCACAGGCUACUAGGUGAAAACGUAGAACUGAUGACCGAACAAACUCCAGGCCAGGGUAGCAGAGAUAUCCAAUGCUGUACCCCUGCCGUCUCAAGUUGCUGGCCUUCCGUGAAGCAGAACUGCCUGGUCACUCAGCACACACAGCUUGGAAGUUGCCCACAAGGGUCAUCUGCAGGCCACUCCAUUGUCCCCCCUGCCAGACAAAAGAGCAAAUCAGCAACAGACUCUUCCGCCCUCGCCUCUGAACCCGGUCAGCUGCCAGCUUCUAGGAUAACUUGCAGGAAGGAGGGAGCCAUCUUUGUUCACCUCUUCACAUCUUAUUUUGAACUCCACUGCCAUAUAUUCCGCUACCUGACAUCUCAGCUCUGGCAACUGCAGCUGCAACUUGUCACCUAAAACAACAGGCAUCCAUUCUAGUAGCCGUUGAUACGCCUGUCCUCCAUGAAUCUGUCCAACCCAUUCUUAAAGCCAUCCAGGCUGAUAUCCUUCCGCUUGUCGGUGCUGACUCUCCUGCCCAUCUGCUUCACAGAGAGCCCCCUGGUCCCAGUGUUGCGUAACAGAGAAAAGAAUUUAUCCACCUUUUCCCAAUGCGCAGGAUUUCACCUCCUUCGAUCAGUCCCCUCUUAAAUGCCAUCUUUCAAGGCUGAGGAGGCCUGGGUGUUGCCACCUGAUUUCAAGUGAUCCAGGUGCACUGCGCUUCUGCCCAUUAUGCCCGACUUCCCCACUCCCCUAAAGCCUGAGCCCACCGGCUCCUCCCUCUACACCUGGGGGC
rnacentral:lncRNA from 1 species